rnacentral:rRNA from 1 species
ACUCAAAUGAAUUGACGGGUGCCCGCACAAGCGGCGGAGCAUGUGGAUUAAUUCGAUGCAACGCGAAGAACCUUACCUGGGUUUGACAUAUACGAGAAGCCUCUAGAGAUAGAGGUCUCUUUGGACACUCGUAUACAGGUGGUGCAUGGCUGUCGUCAGCUCGUGUCGUGAGAUGUUGGGUUAAGUCCCGCAACGAGCGCAACCCUCGUCCUAUGUUGCCAGCACGUAAUGGUGGGGACUCAUAGGAGACUGCCGGGGUCAACUCGGAGGAAGGUGGGGAUGAGGUCAAGUCAUCAUGCCCCUUAUGUCCAGGGCUUCACACAUGCUACAAUGGCCGGUACAAAGGGCUGCGAAACCGCAAGGUGGAGCGAAUCCCAAAAAACCGGUCUCAGUUCGGAUCGGGGUCUGCAACUCGACCCCGUGAAGUCGGAGUCGCUAGUAAUCGCAGAUCAGCAACGCUGCGGUGAAUACGUUCCCGGGCAUUGCACACACCGCCCGU